rnacentral:rRNA from 1 species
UACGUAGGGCGCAAGCGUUGUCCGGAUUUAUUGGGCGUAAAGAGCUCGUAGGCGGCUUGUCGCGUCGUUCGUGAAAACCCGGGGCUCAACUCCGGGACUUGCGGGCGAUACGGGCAGGCUAGAGUUCGGUAGGGGAGACUGGAAUUCCGUGGUGUAGCGGGUGAAAUGCGCAGGAUAAUCAGGAGGAACACCGGUGGCGAAGGCGGGUCUCUGGGCCGAUGACUGACGCUGAGGAGCGAAAGCGUGGGGAGCGAACAGG